UACCAGCACCCCGAGUGGUCGGGACGUUUUAUUGGGCCUAAAGCAUCCGUAGCCGGUUCUACAAGUCUUCCGUUAAAUCCACCUGCUUAACAGAUGGGCUGCGGAAGAUACUAUAGAGCUAGGAGGCGGGAGAGGCAAGCGGUACUCGAUGGGUAGGGGUAAAAUCCGUUGAUCCAUUGAAGACCACCAGUGGCGAAGGCGGCUUGCCAGAACGCGCUCGACGGUGAGGGAUGAAAAGCUGGGGGGAGCAAACCGG
rnacentral:rRNA from 1 species